AGGAAUUAGACGAUAUAAGCUGCAGCUCAGAAUCAGAGAGUCUAUUACUAUAAUGAAUUAUACUAAUGGAUUCUCUAAUGUUUAUCAUCUGUGGAUACAAGUCAUCCAGGUACAGCUUAUAUUUCAAGCAAGCCUUCCUUGCAGCUAAUUGGAAUUAUAUGACUAAGUAUGGGAAAUAGAAUGAUAGUAAAGUUAUUGUGAGUGACUUACAGGUUAUUUCCAACUCAACACACAACAGUGGCCCUGGACAUUGACCAUUUCUCCCUUCUUGACUAGACAUGACAAUAACUGGAGUGACUUUAGAAGCCAUAAAUUAAGUGUUGAUGACAUGUCAUACCAUCCUGAACCAAUCAGAAUCUCCCAUGCGAUAAAAAUAAACUUCUAUCUGUGUAAGUCCCUGAAAUUUUGUUGUUGUUGUUACCUCAGUUAAACGGUCCACAGAUAAAGAGGAAUUUUGCCCCAAAAUGAACAUUACCCAGCAUCUCAUCCAUAUCUGAUUCUGAUGUUUCAGAAGGUAGGAGGAGGAGGAGGAGAGUUGGUCUUAUUGUCUCAGGGACGGCCAACGUGGAAGAGGCGAACAAGGUGAAAGGAGAGGCAGGAGAGAUUUUGCUCUAUUGCCUAAGCUGGAGUGCAAUGACAUAUGAUUGCUUACUGCAGCCUCCAACUCCGGAGUUUAAGCAAUCCUACCACCUAACCCUCCUAAGUAGCUGGGACUACAGUCAAGUUGCUUCUUUUCAGUGAUCAUAAUCAAUUAUCCAGGAAAAGGGACAGAAGAAAUCAGGAAAAAGGAGAAUAGACUCUUUAUGCAUAGGUAGGUUCAGAAUUAACAAAGUUUUGUGGUGGUGGUUCUUUGCUUUGACACAGAUUCAAUGUAAUAAAAUUUGUACCACCUUUAGGCAAAAUUGAGACCAAUGGAAGAAAAAUGUAACAUAGAGAGUCUUGAAGUUGUG
rnacentral:lncRNA from 1 species